rnacentral:rRNA from 1 species
GACGAGGGAUCCUAGCGUUGUUCGGAAUCAUUGGGCGUAAAGCGGGUGUAGGCGGCUCAGUAAGUCAGGUGUGAAAGCCCAGGGCUCAACCCUGGAAGUGCAUUUGAUACUGCUGAGCUUGAGUGCGAGAGAGGUAAGUAGAAUUCCUGGUGUAGUGGUGAAAUACGUAGAUAUCAGGAGGAAUACCAGAGGCGAAGGCGGCUUACUGGCUCGACACUGACGCUCAGACCCGAAAGCGUGGGGAUCAAACAGG